rnacentral:rRNA from 1 species
AGAGUUUGAUCAUGGCUCAGAACGAACGCUGGCGGCAUGCCUAACACAUGCAAGUCGAACGAGACCUUCGGGUCUAGUGGCGCACGGGUGCGUAACGCGUGGGAACCUGCCUUUAGGUUCGGAAUAACUCAGAGAAAUUUGAGCUAAUACCGGAUAAUGUCUUCGGACCAAAGAUUUAUCGCCUUUAGAUGGGCCCGCGUAAGGUUAGCUAGUUGGUGGGGUAAAGGCCUACCAAGGCGACGAUCCUUAGCUGGUCUGAGAGGAUGAUCAGCCACACUGGGACCGAGACACGGCCCAGACUCCUACGGGAGGCAGCAGUGGGGAAUAUUGGACAAUGGGCGAAAGCCUGAUCCAGCAAUGCCGCGUGAGUGAUGAAGGCCUUAGGGUUGUAAAGCUCUUUUACCCGGGAUGAUAAUGACAGUACCGGGAGAAUAAGCCCCGGCUAACUCCGUG